UUAGAGUUUGAUCCUGGCUCAGAACAAACGCUGGCGGUGCGUUUUAAGCAUGCAAGUCGAACGGUAACAGGCCUUCGGGUGCUGACGAGUGGCGGACGGGUGAGUAACACGUAGGAAUCUACCCUCAAGUCUGGGACAACCUGGAGAAAUUCAGGCUAAUACCGGAUGUGCUCUACGGAGUAAAGAAUUUCGCUUGAGGAUGAGCCUGCGGCUGAUUAGCUUGUUGGUGGGGUAAAGGCCCACCAAGGCGACGAUCAGUAGCCGACUUGAGAGAGUGUACGGUCACACCGGAACUGAGACACGGUCCGGACUACUACGGUGGGCAGCAGCUAAGAAUCUUCCGCAAUGGGCGCAAGCCUGACGGAGCGACACCGCGUGAUUGAUGAAUGCCGAGAGGUUGUAAAGAUCUUUUCCUAGUGAGGAUAAUGACGUUAACUAGGGAAUAAGCCCCGGCUAAUUACGUGCCAGCAGCCGCGGUAAUACGUAAGGGGCGAGCGUUGUUCGGAAUUAUUGGGCGUAAAGGGCGUGUAGGCGGCCUUAAAAGUCUGGAGUUAAAGACCACAGCUUAACUGUGGAAGUGCUUUGGAAACUGUAAGACUAGAAUCUAGCAGGGGUAAUCGGAAUUUCUAGUGUAGGGGUGAAAUCUGUUGAUAUUAGAAAGAACACCAGAGGCGAAGGCGGAUUACUGGGGUUAAGAUUGACGCUGAGGCGCGAAAGCGUAGGUAGCAAACAGGAUUAGAUACCCUGGUAGUCUACGCUGUAAACGUUGCACACUUGGUGUUGGGCCAUUAGGCUUAGUGCCAAAGCUAACGUAUUAAGUGUGCCGCCUGGGGAGUAUACUCGCAAGAGUGAAACUCAAAGGAAUUGACGGGGGCCCGCACAAGCGGUGGAGCAUGUUGUUUAAUUCGAUGAUACGCGAGAAACCUUACCAGGACUUGACAUAUAGUAGACAGGCUUAGAGAUAAGCUCUUCUUCGGACUGCUAUACAGGUGCUGCAUGGCUGUCGUCAGCUCGUGCCGUGAGGUGUUGGGUUAAGUCCCGCAACGAGCGCAACCCUUGUCGUAUGUUACCAUCAUUUAGUUGGGGACUCAUGCGAGACUGCCGGUGAUAAACCGGAGGAAGGUGAGGACGACGUCAAGUCAUCAUGGCCCUUACGUCCUGGGCUACAAACGUGCUACAAUGGUUGGUACAAAGUGACGCUACUUCGUAAGAACACGCAAAUCACAUAAAGCCAGCCUCAGUUCGGAUUGAGCUCUGCAACUCGAGCUCAUGAAGUUGGAAUCGCUAGUAAUCGUAUAUCAGAAUGAUACGGUGAAUACGUUCCCGGGCCUUGUACACACCGCCCGUCACACCACCCGAGUCGGGGAUACCCAAAGUCGUUAGUCUAACUUCGGAGGACGAUGCCUAAGGUAUGCUUGGUAAGGGGGGUGAAGUCGUAACAAGGUAGCCGUA
rnacentral:rRNA from 1 species